AGCAGGAUUAGAUACCCUGGUAGUCCAUGCCGUAAACGAUGUCUACUAGCCGUUGGGGCCUUUGAGGCUUUAGUGGCGCAGCUAACGCGAUAAGUAGACCGCCUGGGGAGUACGGUCGCAAGACUAAAACUCAAAUGAAUUGACGGGGGCCCGCACAAGCGGUGGAGCAUGUGGUUUAAUUCGAUGCUACGCGAAAAACCUUACCUACCCUUGACAUCCUCGAAAUCCUGCAGAGAUGCGGGAGUGCCUUCGGGAAUCGAGAGACAGGUGCUGCAUGGCUGUCGUCAGUUCGUGUCGUGAGAUGUUGGGUUAAGUCCCGUAACGAGCGCAACACUUGUCCUUAGUUGCCAGCACACUAUGGUGGGCACUCUAAGGAGACUGCCGGUGAUAAACCGGAGGAAGGCGGGGAUGACGUCAAGUCAUCAUGGCCCUUACGGGUAGGGCUACACACGUGCUACAAUGGGGAGUACAAAGGGUUGCCAAACCGUGAGGUGGAGCUAAUCCCAAAAAACUUUUCGUAGUCCGGAUUGAAGUCUGCAACUCGACUUCAUGAAGCUGAAAUCGCUAGUAAUCGCGAAUCAGAAUGUCGCGGUGAAUACGUUCUCGGGUCUUGUACACACCGCCCGUCACACCAUGGGAGUGACUUGUACCAGAAG
rnacentral:rRNA from 1 species